ACGGCUCAGUAACACGUCGGUAACCCACCCUCGGGAGGGGGAUAACCCCGGGAAACUGGGGCUAAUUCCCCAUAGGCCUGAGGUACUGGAAGGUCCUCAGGCCGAAAGGGACUUAUGUCCGCCCGAGGAUGGGCCGGCGGCCGAUUAGGUAGUUGGUGGGGUAAUGGCCCACCAAGCCGAAGAUCGGUACGGGCUGUGAGAGCAGGAGCCCGGAGAUGGACACUGAGACACGGGUCCAGGCCCUACGGGGCGCAGCAGGCGCGAAACCUCCGCAAUGCGGGAAACCGCGACGGGGGGACCCCGAGUGCCGUGGCAACGCCACGGCUUUUCCGGAGUGUAAAAAGCUCCGGGAAUAAGGGCUGGGCAAGGCCGGUGGCAGCCGCCGCGGUAAUACCGGCGGCCCGAGUGGUGGCCGCUAUUAUUGGGCCUAAAGCGUCCGUAGCCGGGCCCGUAAGUCCCUGGCGAAAUCCCACGGCUCAACCGUGGGGCUUGCUGGGGAUACUGCGGGUCUUGGGACCGGGAGAGGCGGGGGGUACCCCUGGGGUAGGGGUGAAAUCCUAUAAUCCCAGGGGGACCGCCAGUGGCGAAGGCGCCCCGCUGGAACGGGUCCGACGGUGAGGGACGAAGGCCAGGGGAGCAAACCGGAUUAGAUACCCGGGUAGUCCUGGCUGUAAAGGAUGCGGGCUAGGUGUCGGGUGAGCCUCGAGCUCGCCCGGUGCCGUAGGGAAGCCGUUAAGCCCGCCGCCUGGGGAGUACGGCCGCAAGGCUGAAACUUAAAGGAAUUGGCGGGGGAG
rnacentral:rRNA from 1 species